rnacentral:rRNA from 1 species
GUGAGGAAUAUUGGGCAAUGGGCGAAAGCCUGACCCAGCCACGCCGCGUGAGUGAUGAAGGCCUUCGGGUUGUAAAGCUCUGUGGGGAGGGAAGAAAAAGCGGGAGAGUAACUGCUCUCGUGUUGACGGUACCUCCUUAGCAAGCACCGGCUAACUCUGUGCCAGCAGCCGCGGUAAUACAGAGGGUGCAAACGUUGCUCGGAAUUACUGGGCGUAAAGCGCGUGUAGGCUGACAUGCAAGUCGGGUGUGAAAUCCCAGGGCUCAACCUUGGAACUGCACUCGAAACUGCACGUCUUGAGUACUGGAGAGGGAAGCGGAAUUCCGGGUGUAGAGGUGAAAUUCGUAGAUAUCCGGAGGAACACCAGUGGCGAAGGCGGCUUCCUGGACAGUAACUGACGCUGAGACGCGAAAGCGUGGGGAGCAAACAGGAUUAGAAACCCCAGUAGUCC